UACGUAGGGGGCGAGCGUUGUCCGGAAUUACUGGGCGUAAAGGGCAUGCAGGCGGCCAGUCAAGUCAUGGGUGAAAUUCCGAGGCUUAACCUCGGGGGUGCCUGUGAAACUGGGUGGCUUGAGGGUCGGAGAGGGCAGUGGAAUUCCCGGUGUAGCGGUGAUAUGCGUAGAUAUCGGGAGGAACACCAGUGGCGAAGGCGACUGCCUGGACGACACCUGACGCUGAGGUGCGAAAGCUCGGGGAGCGAACGGG
rnacentral:rRNA from 1 species